rnacentral:lncRNA from 10 species
UAUUAUUUCUUGUUAAUUCCUUAAGGAAACAUUGUAGACUCUUAUAUAUGCCUUGUAUAUUCUUGUUCAGUGAAUGAAUAACUUAAGAACAGAAAUAUGUCAUGUAGAUAUAUAAAUUUCUGAGAAAUAAUCUAGUCCUAUCUCCAAAUUACUGAAGACAAAGAAACAGAAACUUGGAGAGGCUGCACAACUUCUAAUCAGCAGCAGAAAGGGUUAGUCUUGGUUUCUUUUGAUUCCCACUGCAAUGUGUUUUCCAUCAGAAAAAUACAACUGCUGCCAAACUGAUAGACUUCCUAUAACUCUAGACUACAGGAUUGAAGAGGUUGUUAUUUUAGUGCUGAGCCUUUAUGACCUAAUAUAACUUCCUAGCACAGGAAUAUCUCUUCAACUAAGAUGUAUGCCACAACCUAGAAAUUUUACUUCUCAAUAUCUACCCUAGAGUAAUGCAUGUUUAUAAGGAUUCAUAAAAAAGGAUGUUGCAGCAAUGUUUGUAAUAAUAAAGUUGUGGAGAGAACUUAAAUGUUUUUGCGUAGGGGAAUGGUUAAAUAAAUGUUAAUAUUUUUAUUCCAUGAAAUACUAUGCAACAAUUUAAAAGAAUGAGUCAUACCUAUGUUUGGCAAAAACAGCUGAAUUCCAGGAUGUUGUAUUACAGUGUGUACAACACAUAGCCAUGUAAAAAGCAAUAUUAUAUAAUAUAUCUAGAUCCAUGUGAUGUGUGUGUAAAAGCAUUAACAAAGGGUGGGAAUUAAAUAUGUUAAACUGAGAUAGAGAUAGUCACCUAUGAGGAUGGUGGGACUAAAAGUUGAAGGUGGCUGUCAAAGGUGAUUUGAUUUCAUCUCCAUGUCUUAAAUUUGUAAAAAAAUAAAAUGUAUUUAUAAAUGUAUCAGUGUAAUGUAAAAACAAGUUGGUUAAAGCACAUUAUCCAAUAAAAGCUUAAUAUGUCCCUGUUUGACAUGAUCUUAGACUAGGGGCAAGGAGAGAAUAUGCAGAUGUGGGAAAAGAGGUUGUCAUUCUAGGCCGGCUCAUGUUUCACAAAGCAGAUAACAUAAAUAAGUUAUUGAUAUUUCAUUAUUACAGGAAAAAGAAAAUAACAAAGAAUAAGGGGGCAGCAAUGAAAGAAGACAGUUAAGGUAGUCACGUUUUUACCAACAGAGCCAAUUUAGUUAAUAACAGGAAACCAAUUUUCUUCAAGUUCAAAUAAGUGAUCCUCAAAUAUUUGCAAUGCAUAGUCUCUGUUAAAGUUC